rnacentral:rRNA from 1 species
AUUGAACGCUGGCGGCAUGCCUUACACAUGCAAGUCGAACGGCAGCACGGGAGCAAUCCUGGUGGCGAGUGGCGAACGGGUGAGUAAUAUAUCGGAACGUGCCCAGUCGUGGGGGAUAACGCAGCGAAAGCUGUGCUAAUACCGCAUACGAUCUCUGGAUGAAAGCGGGGGACCUGCAAGGGCCUCGCGCGAUUGGAGCGGCCGAUAUCAGAUUAGCUAGUUGGUGGGGUAAAGGCCUACCAAGGCGACGAUCUGUAGCUGGUCUGAGAGGACGACCAGCCACACUGGAACUGAGACACGGUCCAGACUCCUACGGGAGGCAGCAGUGGGGAAUUUUGGACAAUGGGCGCAAGCCUGAUCCAGCAAUGCCGCGUGCAGGAUGAAGGCCUUCGGGUUGUAAACUGCUUUUGUACGGAACGAAACGGUCUGCCUUAAUACGGUGGGCUAAUGACGGUACCGUAAGAAUAAGCACCGGCUAACUACGUGCCAGCAGCCGCGGUAAUACGUAGGGUGCGAGCGUUAAUCGGAAUUACUGGGCGUAAAGCGUGCGCAGGCGGUUAUAUAAGACAGAUGUGAAAUCCCCGGGCUCAACCUGGGACCUGCAUUUGUGACUGUAUAGCUAGAGUACGGUAGAGGGGGAUGGAAUUCCGCGUGUAGCAGUGAAAUGCGUAGAUAUGCGGAGGAACACCGAUGGCGAAGGCAAUCCCCUGGACCUGUACUGACGCUCAUGCACGAAAGCGUGGGGAGCAAACAGGAUUAGAUACCCUGGUAGUCCACGCCCUAAACGAUGUCAACUGGUUGUUGGGUCUUCACUGACUCAGUAACGAAGCUAACGCGUGAAGUUGACCGCCUGGGGAGUACGGCCGCAAGGUUA